UGGUACCUGAAAAAAAAGACACAUUCAUCCUUCAGCAUUUAUGAUGGGUGCUCAUGGUCCUUGUGGUGUUUAAACAAAACAUUACUUGAGGUGGAGAGAGAUCAUAAGAAGCAGAUUGAGGAUUUCUUUGCCAUGGUCUAUUCAUCCACAGGAUGCUGAUUCUACACAAGAGGCCUCCCUUUGGACAAUUCUUGAUUUAGGGGAUUAACAGAUCACCAAAUACGUGGAAUUCAGUUCUCUUCCUCUUCCGCUUCUUCCAGAAGACCAUCUUCCUCUGAGUGUUGCUGCAGGAAAGGGACCAGGACUCCCCAACCGUGAUUCAAGAUGGACUCAAGGGGAACGCCUCAAGACCUAAGGUUGAAGGAGUACUGGGUUAGAGUGCUUCUGGAGGGGCUGGCCGUGUUCAAAUCAGCAGGUCCAGAUGCUCUCCACCCCAGGGUGUUGAGGGAGCUAGCAGGUGUUUUUGCAGGGCCCUUGGCACGGCUUUACGAGCACUCGUGGUGCUCAGGCCAGAUGCCAGAUGAUUGGCAGAUAGCCAAUGUGGUCCCCAUCUUUAAAAAAGGGAGGAGGGAGGACCCGGGCAACUAUAGGCCCAUCAGUCUUACCUCAAUCCUGGGGAAACUCUUUGAGGAGAUCAUCAAGGAGCACAUCUGUGAUGGGCCAGCAUCGGGGAUGAGGCUUAGGGGCAGCCAGCAUGGUUUCAUUAGGGGCAGGUCAUGUCAGACCAACCUGAUUGCCUUUUACGAUCAGGUCACAAAAGCAUUGAAUGCAGGUGUCACCGUGGAUGUAGUCUUUCUGGACUUCAGCAAGGCCUUUGACGCUGUCUCCCACCCUAUCCUCAUUACAAAAACUAGGCGACUGUGGCAUUGAUGCCUACACGGUCAGAUGGGUUGUGAAUUGGCUCAAGGGUUGUACUCAGAGGGUGGUGGUGGGGACGGGUCAUAUUCGACCUGGGGGGAAGUGGGCAGCAGAGUCCCCCAGGGCUCGGUCCUUGGGCCCACUCUGUUCAACUUCUUUAUCAGCAAUUUGGACGAUGGGGUGAAAAGCAACCUGUUCAAAUUUGUUGAUGAUACCAAAAUUUGGGGUGAGGUGGGCAUGUUAGCAGAGAGGGAAAAACUGCAGAAAGACCUGGAUAGGUUGUAGUGGUGGGCUAACAAAAACAGGAUACGUUUCAAUAUGGACAAGUGCAGGGUGCUGCACUUGGGCAGUAGUAACCAGCAACACACUUAUAAGAUGGGAAACUCCCUUCUUGAGAGCACGGAGGCAGAAAGGGAUCUUGGAGUCAUUGACUCCAAGAUGAACAUGGGCUGACUAUGCGUGGUCAGCAGGGCAGACCCAAUACUGAGAGGCUACAGGACCUGAACCUGUUCAGCCUUCACAGGAGAAGGCUGAGGGGGGACCUGGUGACUGUCUGUAAACUCAAUAGAGGGGACCAGAAGGGUUUGGGGGAGACCUUGUUUCCCCUAGCGCCCCCUGGGAUAACAAGGAAUAAUGGCCACAAAUUGGAGAGGUUCAGAUUAGACAUCCAUAGGAACUACUUCACAGUUAGGGUGGCUAGGAUCUGGAACCAACUUCUAAGGGAAUUGGUGCUGGCUCCUACCCUGGGGGUCUUUAAGCAUCGGCUCGAUGCCUACCUGGCUGGGGUCACUUGAGCCCAGUUUCCCUCCUACCCAGGCAGGGGGUCGGACUAGAAGAUCUACAAGGUCCCUUCCAACCCUACUUCUAUGAUUCUAUGAUUAGUUUGUAGUGACUUUUACUGUUGUGUUUGGUCAAUCAGUAAGUAUUCUGUUUAGUUUUUGGAAGGAAAAAGUAUAUUUGACCAAUCUGUUUUGUGUUACUUGAACUUGUGAAGUUUUUUUUUUUAAUUUUAAAAUUUAAAAAUAUUAUUUUUAUUACAGAAAUAUUCAGUAUUCUCAUUUUGAGUUUAAGGGACAUUCAAGGAAUAUUACCUGUCUGAGUAAAAAACAAAAAAAACAAAAAACCAGAAAGUUUUCAAGUGUCACCAUUAUAUGCUGUUUGUUGUGAGUUGCGUAAGUUGAUUUAUAUAUCCUUCACUGCAAUAGACAGUGCCUGUGGAUUGUAGAAGCUACAAAGAUUUUUGAUAAAUUGAACACACCAACUGGCAGAGGAGUACCUUUUAAAUGCUUAUUGCACGCAGAUACACUGCAGAGAAGGAGAUCUUGACCUUCAAUGGGUCAUUAUGUAAAAAAAAAAAAAAAAGAGAGAGAGAAAAAUGAUAAACACUCUGUCUGGAACCUGACUGUACUUGAUGUAAAUGCUACUCGUUUCAGUAAACAAGCACACUGCCAGAUUGAAGUUCUUCUGUACAGAAGAAAAUGGGAUUUCCUAUGUGCUAGUAAUCUGAUAAACCAGCCUGCAAUAGGAGUCGAAAGGGGGGAAAGAUAACGAGUUUAGGCAGUCUGCAAAGCUCAGUGUAAUAUUAUGAUCACUUAUAUGUCAAUAACAAUUUAUGAUCCCAGCUUAAAUCAUGGUGCUAGGCACUGUACAAGCACAUUGUCAAGGGCAGUCCUUGGCCUGAAGAACUGUUAACUUGCACAAAUCAAGCAAGCCAAGGGAAAGGGACUUGCUCAAGGUUACACAGCAAGUCAGUGACAGUACCAGGAUUGGUAUUGAUGUUUUCAGUGUCCUCUUUUACUGUCCUGGCCUGGACACUGCCUUUGGGCCUUACAUGAUGUCCACUUUAUCCCACACCCCAUGAUAUUCAUGUGCCCAGGGCAUAAUGUACUUCUGAGUGGAGGGCCUACAUGAGGACUCAUCAGUCCUGAGCAGCAUGCCAAACUGAUCCAGUAUAUAAAAUCCCAAGAGAUUAUAAUAUAGCCCAAGGCAGCUUUGUCUCUUAUCUCUGUAGCAGAAAGCCCCCUUUUCCUCUUGCCUGCAUUUGCUCUCCCCUCUUUGAAUAUGUUUUUCCUCCUCUAUCUUUUCGUCCUUCCUCUUUCUUUCACUUUAAGAUAAGGAAUUGUGUUUUAAAAUUUGUGUGUGCAUUUUGUAUCUCCCCGUGUAUUUUGGUAUUUUUAUCUAUUUGUGUGCCAUGGCAUUUGUAGCUUUUAUUUUAUACUCCUCACCUUUCAAAUAUAAAUGUGUUUAGUAACAAUGUUAACAAGGGCAGUAGUCAAACUGCUGCUUCCCUGUAUCAGGCUGGCCCCUGAAAGAGAGAGUGAAUCAGUGUUUGAAUGUGUAACACUGUAGCAGCAGACAACAAUUAACACCUAAGGAAACUGCAGAUCAACCAAUGGAAUAACUCAAUAGAAGACAAUGUAACAACUGGGAAAUCUCUAAACAUCACUGAUCAAGGGUUAGAACCCCUGGCCUGAGUUCAUCAACACCGGGGACCAACUUUUGGGCUGAAUAUCUCCAGAUUGACCGCUCCCAGUGAAAAGUGACCCUCUUAUCUCCAACUCCACCAGCACCCGUCCUGCCCAGCCAGAAGGACCAGCUGGUGACCCUCUUCUGCAAGAUAACACCAUGCUAAAAGAAGCCUCAAUGCCAGACUCCAGCACCUGUGGGAUAGUUAUACCUGACGCUUGUAGCUUCCUACUGUGUGUGUGUGGGGGGGGGGGGACCAGCCCCAAGGUUUAUAAUUUAACUUCAUUACAGUGUUUCAAUCCGCCUAAUAAACCAGAAUUUUAAGGAUCCUGAGUUGGACAUUUGUAGCCAACAUCUCUUAUCUCCUGACAUAAAUCACAAGGACUCAGUUGAGUCCAAACCUUGUUGGGGAAUGAUGAAUCUGACACCAGAGAAGCUCAGCUACUCUUUCUUUGCAUAUCUUCUGCAUGCGGAUUUUGGGAGCAUCACGCUCUGUGGGUUAGAGCUGGAUUUGAACCUGAUAGACUUGGCUUCUACAACAGUCUGCCACUAAUUUACUGGAUCAGUUUGGAAAAAUCAUUCUAGGGGAAACGUUUAAAGACAAAGGAGAAGUAGGUGUCCAAUUUUCACUGACUGGCUCUUGGCCCCCUAAUAUGGCCUUUGCACCUGUAAAAAGUGACUGGUAUUGUGAGGCCACACUUUUGGUUGGGUUUUUAUGCCACUUUGGCUAGGUACAGAUGGUUAAAAAGCCCAAGGCUGAGUCGAUUCAGUCUUUGCCAGUUAGUCUAAGCUGCACAGAUUAAAUUGGAGCAGAAAUGAACAGACAUUUACCUUUGGUUCAGAAAAUGCAGCCAUGUGUCUGCUAUGGCUCAGGCCAGAAGCCGGGGGGUGCUCGAGCAGGCUCUCUGGCUGUGUUGUUCACUUCCUCUUCCUGCUGCCCCCGAGGUAUCUGGGAUUCUCAGUCCAGAAUUACAGCAGCAGGACUCUGCAUGGUUGCUCAUCACUUCUUCAUGCUUCCAGGUGUCUCUGAGAUGUGUAGUGCACAGUUGCAGUUGGCAGUAAAUUUGAGUGGGGGAAAAGGUGUUUAACCCUCCUCUUUGGUCUCAACCCUAGCCGGAGUUUGUCCCUCCUUCCUAGGGUCCCUGGGUCCCUCCUUCCUUGGGAACCAGCAGUGGGAAGGAGAGGAUCCAGGCACAUGUGUGUCCCGCACGCAUGUGUGCCCCCUUAACUAACUAACUUACUGACCCGAGGUGGAGGAGGAAGCGGCAGCAGCAGCAGAGGAAACAGCAGCGGGGGCAGCAACAGCUGAUCCCCCAAAGGUAAGAGGGGCGGAGGGACCCGGCACAGCUGAGCCGGAUCCGGAGGGGAAGCCCCCCGGGUCCCAUAUAGCUGAGCCGGUAGGGAGCCGCACUCCCGAGCCGCGCCGGCGGGGGUUAGGAAGGGUCAGGAGAGAGACUCCUGUAUGGGUAGGGCGUAGAAACCACACAGAUCUACAAACAGCUGCUUAUAGAAUGGUGUCGACGAGGAGUUCUGCUAAGGCCUCUGCCCAGGGGGACAAGGCUACCCGGGGCAGGUCUGAGGCCUCCACCCAGACCGAGCCCAUGGGGGAGCUGAUGUCCCCCUAUCUCCUGGCCUGUGGGGGAACCCCAGCAGGGCCGGGGGGGGCAGAGAUUGGGGGCCCCCACACCUGUACAGCAGGUGCCCAUCUUAGGGCUCUGGAGGCACAGGUGAGGGAGCUCCAGGAGGAGGUUAGCAGGCUGAGGGGUAUCAGGGAGGCGGAGGAUGAAAUUGACAGUUAUUUCCUUUCCCUGCAGGACCAGGCACCUAAGGAAGAAGCAGCCCAGGGAACGCCCUCCACAGCAGAGUGGCAGACGAUCACAUCCAGGACCGGACCUGCUCGCAGCGAACAGGUA